CGAGUGGCGGACGGGUGAGUAACGCGUGGGUAACCUGCCUCAUACAGGGGGAUAACAGUUGGAAACGGCUGCUAAUACCGCAUAAGCGCACAGUACCGCAUGGUACCGUGUGAAAAACUCCGGUGGUAUGAGAUGGACCCGCGUCUGAUUAGCUAGUUGGUGGGGUAACGGCCUACCAAGCACGAUCAGUAGCCGACCUGAGAGGGUGACCGGCCACAUUGGGACUGAGACACGGCCCAA
rnacentral:rRNA from 1 species